AGCGGCGGACGGGUGAGUAAUGCUUAGGAAUCUGCCCAGUAGUGGGGGAUAGCCCGGGGAAACCCGGAUUAAUACCGCAUACGUCCUACGGGAGAAAGCAGGGGAUCUUCGGACCUUGCGCUAUUGGAUGAGCCUAAGUCGGAUUAGCUAGUUGGUGGGGUAAAGGCCUACCAAGGCGACGAUCCGUAGCUGGUCUGAGAGGAUGAUCAGCCACAUCGGGACUGAGACACGGCCCGAACUCCUACGGGAGGCAGCAGUGGGGAAUAUUGGACAAUGGGGGCAACCCUGAUCCAGCCAUGCCGCGUGUGUGAAGAAGGCUUUCGGGUUGUAAAGCACUUUCAGUAGGGAGGAAAACCUUAUGGCUAAUACCCAUGAGGCUUGACGUUACCUACAGAAGAAGCACCGGCUAACUCCGUGCCAGCAGCCGCGGUAAUACGGAGGGUGCAAGCGUUAAUCGGAAUUACUGGGCGUAAAGCGCGCGUAGGUGGUUUGGUAAGCGAGAUGUGAAAGCCCCGGGCUUAACCUGGGAACGGCAUUUCGAACUGUCAGACUAGAGUGUGGUAGAGGGUUAGUGGAAUUUCCUGUGUAGCGGUGAAAUGCGUAGAUAUAGGAAGGGAACACCAGUGGCGAA
rnacentral:rRNA from 2 species